UAGAAUGUGGUGUAUUUUGGUAGCACGGAGAUUUUUGAGUUCUUAAGAGUAGGUUCAAUUCCUAUCGUUUUAG